UACGGGGGGGGCAAGCGUUGUUCGGAAUUACUGGGCGUAAAGGGCGCGUAGGCGGCCUUCUAAGUCAGACGUGAAAUCCCUCGGCUCAACCGAGGAACUGCGUCUGAUACUGGAAGGCUUGAAUCCGGGAGAGGGAUGUGGAACUCCUGGUGUAGCGGUGAAAUGCGCAGAUAUCAGGAAGAACACCAAUGGCGAAGGCAGCUCGCUGGGACGGUACUGACGCUGAGACGCGAAAGCGUGGGGAGCAAACAGG
rnacentral:rRNA from 1 species